rnacentral:rRNA from 1 species
AGAUUGAACGCUGGCGGCAUGCCUAACACAUGCAAGUCGAACGGGAGUAGUAAUACUCUAGUGGCGGACGGGUGAGGAAUACGUAGGAAUUUGCCCUUAAGUGGGGGAUAACCCGGGGAAACCCGGAUUAAUACCGCAUGACCUCGAAAGAGCAAAGUGGGGGAUCGCAAGACCUCACGCUUUGGAGAAGCCUACGUCGGAUUAGCUAGUCGUGG